UCUUAUGGAUAAGCAAAGACAGUGGUUUCUGGAGAUGGAAUCUAGUUCUGGUGAAGAUGCUGUGAA
rnacentral:pre_miRNA from 1 species